rnacentral:rRNA from 1 species
AUGGCUCAGAUUGAACGCUGGCGGCAGGCCUAACACAUGCAAGUCGAACGGUAACAGGAAGAAGCUUGCUUCUUUGCUGACGAGUGGCGGACGGGUGAGUAAUGUCUGGGAAACUGCCUGAUGGAGGGGGAUAACUACUGGAAACGGUAGCUAAUACCGCAUAACGUCGCAAGACCAAAGAGGGGGACCUUCGGGCCUCUUGCCAUCGGAUGUGCCCAGAUGGGAUUAGCUUGUUGGUGGGGUAACGGCUCACCAAGGCGACGAUCCCUAGCUGGUCUGAGAGGAUGACCAGCCACACUGGAACUGAGACACGGUCCAGACUCCUACGGGAGGCAGCAGUGGGGAAUAUUGCACAAUGGGCGCAAGCCUGAUGCAGCCAUGCCGCGUGUAUGAAGAAGGCCUUCGGGUUGUAAAGUACUUUCAGCGGGGAGGAAGGGAGUAAAGUUAAUACCUUUGCUCAUUGACGUUACCCGCAGAAGAAGCACCGGCUAACUCCGUGCCAGCAGCCGCGGUAAUACGGAGGGUGCAAGCGUUAAUCGGAAUUACUGGGCGUAAAGCGCACGCAGGCGGUUUGUUAAGUCAGAUGUGAAAUCCCCGGGCUCAACCUGGGAACUGCAUCUGAUACUGGCAAGCUUGAGUCUCGUAGAGGGGGGUAGAAUUCCAGGUGUAGCGGUGAAA